rnacentral:rRNA from 1 species
GAAAGUAAAGAAGGGCGCAUGGCGGAUGCCUUGGCUCUCGGAGGCGAUGAAGGACGUGAUAAGCUGCGAUAAGCUUUGGGGAGGUGCAAAUGACCUUUGAUCCAGAGAUUUCCGAAUGGGACAACCCAAUAUCUUGAAGAGGUAUUAUCCAACGUUGUUGGAGGCUAACGCAGGGAACUGAAACAUCUUAGUACCUGCAGGAAAAGAAAAUAAACAAUGAUUCCCCCAGUAGUGGCGAGCGAACGGGGAACAGCCCAAACCAUCCAUGUUACGGCAUGGGUGGGGUUGUAGGACUACGCCGUUGCAUGAAGACAUCAGAGAAGAACUUUCUGGAAAGAAAGACCAUAGAGCAUGACAGUUGCGUAUUCGAAUGUUGUCGAAGCAUAGUAGUAUCCUGAGUAGCGCGGAGCACGAGGAAUUCUGCGUGAAUCUGCCGGGACCAUCCGGUAAGGCUAAAUACUCCCGAGAGACCGAUAGCGAACCAGUACCGUGAGGGAAAGGUGAAAAGCACUUCGAACAGAAGAGUGAAAUAGUUCCUGAAACCGUGCGCCUACAAGCGGUCGGAGCUCGUUAAUGAGUGACGGCGUGCCUUUUGCAUAAUGAACCUACGAGUUGCCUUUGCCGGCAAGGUUAAGUGUGACGACACACGUAUCCGAAGCGAAAGCGAGUCUGAACAGGGCGUAUAGUCGGCAGUGGCAGACGCGAAACCAAGUGAUCUACCCUUGGCCAGGUUGAAGGCUGGGUAACACCAGCUGGAGGACCGCACCAAUAAGCGUUGAAAAGCUUCUGGAUGAGCUGAGGGUAGGGGUGAAAGGCUAAUCAAACUUGGAGAUAGCUCGUACUCCCCGAAAUGCAUUUAGGUGCAGCCUUGCGGGUUACUGAUGUGAGGUAGAGCGACUGAUAAGAUGCGAGGGCUUCACCGCCUAUCAAGUCUUGACAAACUCCGAAUGCGCAUCAGUUCUACCGCAGGAGUGAGGGCAUGGGUGCUAAGGUCCGUGCCCGAGAGGAGAAGAAUCCGGACCACCUGCUAAGGUCCCGAAAUGACAGCUAAGUUAAACUAACGAAGUCUGACUGCUAAGACAGCUAGGAUGUUGGCUUGGAAGCAGCCAUUCAUUUAAAGAGUGCGUAACAGCUCACUAGUCGAGGAGUCGGGCGUGGAUAAUAAUCGGGUAUCAAGUUGUCUACCGAAGCAGUGGGAUCAUUAAUAUGAUCGGUAGGGGAGCAUUCCAGUCAGCGUCGAAGGCGUACCGUGAGGUAUUCUGGAGCGUCUGGAAAAGCAAAUGUAGGUAUAAGUAACGAUAAAGGGGGCGGGAAACCCCCUCGCCGAAAGACUAAGGUUUCCUGAUCAACGCUAAUCGGAUCAGGGUCAGUCGGGUCCUAAGGCUCAGCCGAACGGCGAUGCCGAUGGCAGAAACGGUUAAUAUUCCGUUACUACCUUCAGGAGUGACGUGGAGACGCAGUAGUGACAGUGCCGCCAUCUGACGGAAUAGAUGGUUGAAGGGUGUAGGAGUCGAUCAUGGCAGGCAAAUCCACCAUGAGAUCCGAACCUGACAGUAUGCCGCGUCCUUCGGGACAAGGCAAUAGUGCGCGUAAGCAUGCUGCCGAGAAAAUCCGCUAAACUUAAUCCUGUAGGUACCCGUACCGCAAACGGACACACGUAGUCGGGAUGAAUAUUCUAAGGCGCUUGAGUGAUUCACGGUUAAGGAACUAGGCAAACUGACCCUGUAACUUCGGGAUAAAGGGUCCCUACCCUUUUAUGGGAGGGCGCAGAGAAUCGGUCCAGGCAACUGUUUAACAAAAACACAGGGCUGUGCCAAAUCGAAAGAUCCAGUAUACAGCCUGACACCUGCCCGGUGCUGGAAGGUUAAGAGGAGAUGUCAUCGAUAAGAGAAGCGUUGAAUUGAAGCCCCAGUAAACGGCGGCCGUAACUAUAACGGUCCUAAGGUAGCGAAAUUCCUUGUCGGGUAAGUUC